AAAAGUUACAAAUUUCCCAAAACAAGGCUGUGAAUUCUAAAGAAGUGAUACCGGGUCCACUUUCACUGUUGGUUGAUGUCAGAAAAUAAGUAGUAACCAUGCAAUUGUUUUACUUUGUAGCAAAUUCCAAAAUAACAAAUAUACAUAUCUAACGGAGAUUGAUAAUAAUAUAAUAUUGUACCUCUUUUUUUUCUUUGCUUCGUACAGUUCCCCAAUAAUACAUUGAGUCCGCGAUCAAGGCUGUACAGUACUCCC
rnacentral:lncRNA from 1 species